CCCUUUGGGUGUGACUGCGUACCUUUUGUAUAAUGGGUCAGCGACUUAUAUUCUGUAGCAAGGUUAACCGAAUAGGGGAGCCGGAGGGAAACCGAGUCUUAACCGGGCGUUAAGUUGCAGGGUAUAGACCCGAAACCCGGUGAUCUAGCCAUGGGCAGGUUGAAGGUUGGGUAACACUAACUGGAGGACCGAACCGACUAAUGUUGAAAAAUUAGCGGAUGACCUGUGGCUGGGGGUGAAAGGCCAAUCAAACCGGGAGAUAGCUGGUUCUCCCCGAAAGCUAUUUAGGUAGCGCCUCGUGAAUUCAUCUCCGGGGGUAGAGCACUGUUUCGGCUAGGGGGCCAUCCCGGCUUACCAACCCGAUGCAAACUGCGAAUACCGGAGAAUGUUAUCACGGGAGACACACGGCGGGUGCUAACGUCCGUCGUGAAGAGGGAAACAACCCAGACCGCCAGCUAAGGUCCCAAAGUCAUGGUUAAGUGGGAAACGAUGUGGGAAGGCCCAGACAGCCAGGAUGUUGGCUUAGAAGCAGCCAUCAUUUAAAGAAAGCGUAAUAGCUCACUGGUCGAGUCGGCCUGCGCGGAAGAUGUAACGGGGCUAAACCAUGCACCGAAGCUGCGGCAGCGACACUGUGUGUUGUUGGGUAG
rnacentral:rRNA from 1 species